GCUGCGGGGCGGCUGUGGGGCCGUCGGGCUGAGGGAAGCGGGCUGGCAGCCUCGGCGAGAUGGUUCCCCGCCUUGAAGACGGGGUUCCAGGGGCUCCUCCGACAGCCUGGGUCCUGGCAUAAGAUUGAUAUAGAGCACAGCUGCAUCUGGACCUUGAUGGACACUGUUCUGAACAAGAAAUGCAUUUGGAGUUAUAAGCAACUGCGAUGUUGAAGUCUUUUUUUAACUACAGCACAGCAUAACCUAGGCUGAUUGAUCCAAGAGUUCACAUGGCUGGAAAGAGUCCAGCAUAAGCGGUGAUGGCACAAGUUCUGGAAUCGGGUUGAUGGAGUUCAUCAUAUUCUGGCUCAGUCACUUCCUAGCUGUGUGACCUUGAGCAAGAACCCAUCCACCCAACCAUGGUGAGAGACCCACGUGGAGAGGACUGGGGGCUCCUUGCCCUUGGCCAUGCCUGAGCUCUUGGCUGGCCGCCAGCACCAACUGGCCAGCCAUGCAGUGGCACCUCCUGGAAGUGGCUCCUCCAGCCUCAGUGAAGUGGCCCCAGCUGACGCAACAUGGAACAGACAUGAGCCUUCUCUGUUGAUUGCUGACUGAGCUCAAAAUUCGUGAACUAAAACUUUGGCACGACUGGUUCGUGGACAGAGGAGACAGACCUGUCAGUUCCAUCUCUCCAGGCUGCCCAGGCUGAAGGCGUGAUCUCUCGGCACAUCUGUAUCUCAACAGCUCUGUACCAAAGUGCUGUGGCAGGCGGCAACGUUGGGGAUCUUCAAACCUUGACAGGAGGACACGAAGCCUUGGCACAGAGAUGGCUUUGAAAAUGGAUCCUGAGGGCUUUAAACACCCAGCAGAGAAGAAUUUGUGCUGUAAAAGCCUUUCCGCUUCUGCUCGGUGUAAUGGAAACUCUGGACCAGAACUCCGGAGAUCUAGGUAACGCUGAGCAAGUCAGGUAAACUCUCUGAGUUUCAUUUCCUUUCUGUAAAAUGGGGCUGAUAUUCCCCCCACCCCUUGGCUAAUGCCUCCCUGCGAUCAAUGAAAUAACACACCUGGAAGGACACUGAAGACAGAGAUGGAGGUUGAGAAUGCAGACUCUCGAGUCAUCCAACCUCUGUGGCUUUCCUGGUGGCUCUUGGGUCAUCUUGAUCCUAUAACUUGCCCUUGGACCUUCCGCUUCCAAAAGGGGGAUAAUAUCCCUGCCUUUAUGACUGAUUAAAGCAUGAGAUGGGAUCAUGCCUUCAAAAGAGCAUACAGUGCCUGGUACAUAAUGAGAUCGCAAUAAGUAAGAGCUAUUAUUUGUAAAGUGUCACUCGAAUGUGAUAGUUCUUUAAGAAAGAGCUAGAUUUUCUUUCCCCCCCCCCUGAGGUUACUUAAGGAUUUCCUUCCAUUCCAUAGCUGCUGUUUUUCCUCUCCUGGCCUUUCUGUUCUUAGCAAGACCCAAUUGCCCUGUCUCUGAGAGACAAAUAGGGGCCUCAGUGCGAGAAUCAAGGCUGCAGAAAAGGGGUGAGAACAUGAGAUCCGGCUUGGAGUUUGAUGGGAAGC